AUCGAACGCUGGCGGCAGGCCUAACACAUGCAAGUCGAACGAGUGGCGGACGGGUGAGUAAUGUCUGGGAAACUCCCUGAUGGAGGGGGAUAACUACUGGAACCGGUAGCUAAUACCGCAUACCAUCAGAUCUGCCCAGAUGGGAUUUGCUAUUUGGUGGGGUACCGGCUCACCAAGGCCACGAUCCCUAGCUGGUCUGAGAGGAUGACCAGCCACACUGGAACUGAGACACGCUCCAGACUCCUACGGGAGGCAGCAGUGGGGAAUAUUGCACAAUGGGCGAAAGCCUGAUGCAGCCAUGCCGCGUGUAUGAAGAAGGCCUUCGGGUUGUAAAGUACUUUCAGAGGGGAGGAGUUACCCACAGAAGAAGCACCGGCUAACUCCGUGCCAGCAGCCGCGGUAAUAC
rnacentral:rRNA from 1 species